UUGGGGAAGGUUGUUAAAACUGAACUGGGACACGCACUGAAAGCCCAAAUGAUUUGGUUUAAAAACGAAAUGCAGUUUUGUUUUCGUAUAAACAGUUAUCCCGGGAUAUGUUUUAAGUCAUGCAUUCAGAAUGUGUCAGUAAAAUGAACUUUCAUGAGGGACCGCCUUAUAAAAGCAAAGUUGUAAAUCUGUUUUAAUGUUAUUUCCCUUUUCUUGUUCUAAUACUACAUUUUUGUUGUACAUUUUUUCAGUCCAUUCCCAACAUUGUUUGAUAUUCUGCGGUGCUUGGGCAAUUGGCUGGUUAACAGCAGUUCCCUCUCUGGCCAAUCAGAUUGAAGCACCAUGGUAGAUUCAGCUAUUUGAAGCACAGCCUUCAGUUCUUCCUACAGAGAGCAGAAAGAAGGCUGAAUGCAGGCGCAGCCAUUUUCUCCUACACUGGGACUCAAUGGCCAAAAUGGGUUUCCUUUGUUCCAAAAGGGAUCUAAAUCUUGGUUUCAACAGCCUUUUAUGGACUAUUUAAUACAUACAGUGUUUCUAUUUACAGGAUCUGAGAAGAAGGAAGAUGAAAUGUUGGAUGGUAUCCCUUUGACAUUUUUAAGCUUUUUUUUUUUCUCUUCCUGGAAACCAUCUUUGUCCCAGCAAACUAGGUCAUGGCACACCCAUAUAACAGCAUUUUGUUCUUUAGUAAAAUGCUACUGAAUAAACAUUUUGCAUUUGGUUUUUAUUAUUACUAACUAGAAAGUAAAAAGAAAAAAAAGAAACCCAUGAAAAUAACCAACUGCUUUUAAGGCCCUGCCUUGUUCAGGGCCAAGCAUUAAUCAAUAACAAACAAGGCAGGCCACAGAGAAAAAGGAGAUUGGCCUUUUACAAAAGUGCUGAAUCACAGGUAUGAUUGAUAGGGUUUGUGGUUGUUUUAAUGCUCAUCCUGGUUGUGACUCACUAUUUUUAAUCCUACAGCAGUAGUGCUAUCAAAACACUUAAAAAAAGUAAAUUUAUAUUUAAAGAAAUUGGUGGACUUCACUUCUCUUCAUGGCGUGCAGAUUGGGAAUAGUGUAUUCCUGAUUUUACAAUGCAAUGGAAAUCCCUACUAUUUUCAGUAAGUGAACACUCACUAUAUAUCUGACCUUGUGCCAAGGGCACACUUCAUUACACUAGUCUCAUGACAUAGUUCACUUUUGAGAUAAUGUAUAAAUAAGACUUUAAACACACAUAAUCAUUAAUGCACUAACAAAGAUAUUUACCUUAACAUUUUGUUGAAAUAAUUCUAUCAGGCCUAUACGUUGAAGAAACAGGAACGUUUUCAUUCCCAUCGUCGGAUCCUUUAACACUGGCUUUAAAGAGGGGGUUGGGUUGCAACGCCUAAAAAGAAGAAAACGACAAUAACCAUUUUUCCUGCCUUCGUUUUUCGACAUAAUUCAUCAUUUAACACACCAAUCUGCGCAGUCUCCAACGUGUGGAGCUGCUGAAAAUCUUGAGGCACUUUUAGAUAUUGCAAUAUGCAAACAAUCCCUCUCUUUCUCUUCCUGAAGACAGAAUGACAAGAGAAAUUCACUCGCUUGCACUUCAUCAUUCAGAAGAAAGAAAAUGUCCUUUUUCUUUCCGAAGGUAAUAGUUUAUGCGACCUUAUUUGACAAAAAAUGACAUGGGAAUACUCUGUUUUAAAAGGUAACAUUAAAUCAUAUUUAUGUUUCAAACUCAUUUUAAAAAUUACGAGUAGGUAUUGUUUUCCUGUGGGGAUAAUUGUGUGAGAGAGAAAGAAAGGUGUAAAAAAUCAUUUUUUUAGACACCUCUCAUUGCUGACCCAUGUCCAAAGCGACCUCAGAAAUAGCCUGCUGUUUAAUGGCUUCUCUGCUGUUUUCAUUUUCAACAUGGCGUCUUCACAAGGACAUCGUUGAGGAAAAGAAAUGUUGCUGCGCCAUUUAUGGGCGAGGCUGUCGGUCGCUGUUUCAGCUGAUUCUGCCUUUAUACGUGGCAACCCUUGCAAACACAAACUGACAAAAUGUGGUCAGAGAGGCUGGCUGUUUCAGAAGCGAGAAUAUUGCACAAAACUCUCAAUAAUAUCUCGUGCGUAAAAGGCGCCCUCGACGCUGCUGCGUAAGGCGCUGGAAACCCUGUGGCACAAAACACACACGGCGGUAAUCUGAGAGUUUGGACGCAUGCCACGGGUCCGGGAUGUGACUGACUGCACCCACCUAACCAUUUUAAGUCGGAGAAAGAAUCUCAAACACUGUGUGGCAUUUCAAUCAGCAAGUACAAAGGGAAUAUCCAGUCCUCUGUGCUCUCUCGUCCCCCUUUCAGAACAUUCGGUGCAGUUUAUUCGCCAGCCAUUCAGAGGAUCAUUUGACGUGAUGCAUUGCAGGAUUGCGCACUACUUAGGUUUCUCAGAUCUUCUGGUGAAUAUAUCACAGUGUUGCAACACAUACCGGUAUGUGGUAUGCAAAUUGUCGUGUUUUGCACAAUUUAUGGAUAUGUAAUUUUGUAUGUAGCUUAUUCCACUAUUGUGGAGAAUGGACAUACUGAUUACCCAAGCAUCUUAUCAUUGGGAUUUGGUUAUUGCCUCUGUAUUUUUUUCUUUCCCCUUCUUUCUGUGCGUUUGGGGCGAUGCCAGAUCCAAUUUAUCAGCUAGAAUGGUAUUGCGCAAGGAAACGCACCAUCUGUCUUUCGCUUUUAGGAUUCACGGUUAUUAUUGCAUGCAUACCAAUAUGAUUUUGUCUCUCUGCCAUAGUCUAAAAUAGGAUUGGUGACCGAAUAUGCCAGAAAAAGGACUGAAGAAGACGUGAUGACCACAUUGUUUCCUGCUACCCAGGGCUGAAGUGGGUCAUGAGGCCAUUUUAUGGCACUCGUGUGUUUAAUUAGGAAAAUCCUCUUUAUCUUAGUAACCCGCGAACGCAAGCUGUUUCUAAAGGCAUUAAAGAACUACAUAGAUCUCAGACGAAACCAGUUUAUAUAAACAUUUCUUUUUGUUACUCGAUAUGCUGACGUGUGCGAAAAGCUCCAUUUGUGCUCUGGACAGCUGGAUUGGAUCCUCGAUAAAUUUCGACAUUCAGCUUCGCCUUUAAUGAAAUAAGCUAUUUUAGCUUUUAUUUAGGCUGUUGGGUAAUCUGGAAAAGUUGAUUCUUGGAAAUCUUAUUUAAAAUAUUUUGUAUUUUUUAUAUUAUGGAGACUAGCCUAUGAGGCGUCUGAAAUCAAAAUUAGACUACACAGGAUUGUUGAUGGCAGUAUUAUGUACAUUUUCUUUUUAAUGUUCCUUUUAAAACCUUAAAUCCGCUUGAAAUCUGAGGAAACGUUGAACAGAACCAAAUGCAAUUCACGGUGCGCAUAUUUUUUUUACUUGAACCUUUUCUUAUUUAGAAUUUUGAUGAUGGAUUGUAAUAGGCUAUAUUUAAUAGCUAGUAUGGUAAGUAUAUUUACAAAGUGAUUCUGCACUCACUUAAAUGUUUUUAUAUCGUAAUAAAUAUUGUUCUUACAUGAA